GAACUGGAAAAUGACCAGUACAAAAUGCACAGACUUUAACUACUCUACCUCCAGCUUACAUUCUACCAGGCCCUUAGGUUAUUUAAUGCUCUGAGUCCUGCCAUAGAGAGAAGAUGAGAGGAACAGGAAGUGGCAGCUUAUUAAAGCUGUUUGUACCUGAGGUAUAUGGACUGCAGUUGACUUUUAGGGCAAGGUCAAAAGUGAGGUCACCAGUCUCAAGUGGACCUGAGAAACCAGAUGGUAUUUUAAGAUGUGAAUAGUUUGUUGUGAGAACAGUCUCAAUAUGUCCCACAGACAGGAACCAAAGCCAGCAGAACAAAGCAGCCCCAGAUGUGUUCUACUCUAUUAUCUCAAGUAAAUGAAAAUCAACCCUGAGGAAUGUGUGGACGGAAGCAGUUCAUCCUGGGAGGUGAGAAUGAGCGUUGAAAGAGCCAUCAGUGAAGCCAUAAGGCUGGGAAAGAGAAGCGAAGGGGCACAUGGAAGUGUUCAUCUCUGGGGCAGGGAGAAACAAUCCGGAGAAGAUGAGUCACACCUCAUUUAUAACCCAUGAAUGAAAAUCAAUACUGUUACUUAUCGUAAAUUACACUGAACAUAGUGCUUACGCUUGAGUAUCAAUGCAGUAAAACCACUAUGAGCCAAUUGAUUGACUUUUCUAGAUCCUAAUUCUAUCAUUCAUCUUCUGGUAUUCAUCUUCUGGCUUAGCUACUAUUUCCUGGCACAGAUUCUUAAUAAAGGUCCUUUCUCCUUGGUCCCAG